rnacentral:rRNA from 1 species
GACGAGCGCUGGCGGCGUGCUUAACACAUGCAAGUCGAACGGAAAGGCCCUGCUUUUGUUGGGUGCUCGAGUGGCGCACGGGUGAGUAACACGUGAGUAACCUGCCCUUGACUUUGUGAUAACUUCAGGAAACUGGGGCUAAUACCCGAUAUGAGCUCCUGCUGCAUGGUGGGGGUUGGAAAGUUUCGGCGGUUGGGUAUGGACUCGCGGCUUAUCGGCUUGUUGGUGGGGUAGUUGCUUACCAAGGCUUUGACGGGUAGCCGGCCUGAGAGGGUGAACGGGGACAAGAGGACUGAGAGACGGACCAGAAGCGUACGGGAGGCAACAGUGGGGAAUAUUGCACAGUGGGGGGAAGCCUGAUGCAGAAACGCUGCGUGCGGGAUGACGGGUUUCGGGUUGUAAACCGCUGUCGCCUGUGACGAAGAGGGAGUGACGGUAAUGGGUAAAGAAGCACCGGCUAACUACGUG